AUUGAACGCUGGCGGCAUGCUUUACACAUGCAAGUCGAACGGUAACAGGCCUUCGGGUGCUGACGAGUGGCGAACGGGUGAGUAAUGCAUCGGAACGUGCCCAGAGGUGGGGGAUAACGCAGCGAAAGCUGUGCUAAUACCGCAUGUGAUCUGAGGAUGAAAGCGGGGGACCAAGCAGCAAUGUUUGGCCUCGCGCCUCUGGAGCGGCCGAUGUCAGAUUAGGUAGUUGGUGGGGUAAAGGCCUACCAAGCCGACGAUCUGUAGCUGGUCUGAGAGGACGACCAGCCACACUGGGACUGAGACACGGCCCAGACUCCUACGGGAGGCAGCAGUGGGGAAUUUUGGACAAUGGGCGCGAGCCUGAUCCAGCAAUGCCGCGUGAGGGAAGAAGGCCUUCGGGUUGUAAACCGCUUUUGUACGGAACGAAAAGGCUCUGGCUAAUACCUGGGGCUGAUGACGGUACCGUAAGAAUAAGCACCGGCUAACUACGUG
rnacentral:rRNA from 1 species